GACGAACGCUGGCGGCGUGCUUAACACAUGCAAGUCGAACGGAAAGGCCCUGCUUUUGUGGGGUGCUCGAGUCGCGAACGGGUGAGUAACACGUGAGUAACCUGCCCUUGACUUUGGGAUAACUUCAGGAAACUGGGGCUAAUACCGGAUAGGAGCUCCUGCUGCAGGGUGGGGGUUGGAAAGUUUCGGCGGUUGGGGAUGGACUCGCGGCUUAUCAGCUUGUUGGUGGGGUACUGGCUUACCAAGGCUUUGACGGGUAGCCGGCCUGAGAGGGUGACCGGCCACAUUGGGACUGAGAUACGGCCAAGACUCCUACGGGAGGCAGCAGUGGGGAAUAUUGCACAAUGGGCGGAAGCCUGAUGCAGCAACGCCGCGUGCGGGAUGACGGCCUUCGGGUUGUAAACCGCUUUCGCCUGUGACGAAGCGUGAGUGACGGUAAUGGGUAAAGAAGCACCGGCUAACUACGUG
rnacentral:rRNA from 1 species